AUGUACACCUUUCAUCGCAUGUGUGUGAAGUUUUUCGUGGGGAUGGGCUCGCGGCCUAUCAGCUUGUUGGUGGGGUAAUGGCCUACCAAGGCUUUGACGGGUAGCCGGCCUGAGAGGGCGACCGGCCACACUGGGACUGAGAUACGGCCCAGACUCCUACGGGAGGCAGCAGUGGGGAAUAUUGCACAAUGGACGGAAGUCUGAUGCAGCAACGCCGCGUGCGGGAUGACGGCCUUCGGGGUUGUAAACCGCUUUCACCAGGGGCGAAAUUUUGACGGUACCUGGAGAAGAAGCACCGGCUAACUACGUGCCAGCAGCCGCGGUGAUACGUAGGGUGCGAGCGUUGUCCGGAUUUAUUGGGCGUAAAGAGCUCGUAGGUGGUUUGUUGCGUCGGGAGUGAAAACACGCAGCUUAACUGUGUGCUUGCUUUCGAUACGGGCAGACUUGAGGGAGGUAGGGGAGAACGGAAUUCCUGGUGGAGCGGUGGAAUGCGCAGAUAUCAGGAGGAACACCGGUGGCGAAGGC
rnacentral:rRNA from 1 species